GGCGAGAUGGCCGAGUUGGUCUAAGGCGUGAGACUAGGGUGGUCCUUGUAGUCUCAUUUUUUCGGGGGCGCGGGUUCAAAUCCCACUCUUGUCA
rfam:Sphaerobolus stellatus SS14 unplaced genomic scaffold SPHSTscaffold_55, whole genome shotgun sequence.